rnacentral:piRNA from 1 species
UUGACGUGGGAAUCCUCUGAAGGACAGC